CGCGCGAUACAGGGUGACAGCCCCGUACACAAAAGCGCAUGUGUUGUGAGCUCGAUGAGUAGGGCGGGACACGUGGUAUCCUGUCUGAAUAUGGGGGGACCAUCCUCCAAGGCUAAAUACUCCUGACUGACCGAUAGUGAACCAGUACCGUGAGGGAAAGGCGAAAAGAACCCCGGCGAGGGGAGUGAAAAAGAACCUGAAACCGUGUACGUACAAGCAGUGGGAGCACCCUUCGGGGUGUGACUGCGUACCUUUUGUAUAAUGGGUCAGCGACUUAUAUUCUGUAGCAAGGUUAACCGAAUAGGGGAGCCGGAGGGAAACCGAGUCUUAAUUGGGCGUUAAGUUGCAGGGUAUAGACCCGAAACCCGGUGAUCUAGCCAUGGGCAGGUUGAAGGUUGGGUAACACUAACUGGAGGACCGAACCGACUAAUGUUGAAAAAUUAGCGGAUGACCUGUGGCUGGGGGUGAAAGGCCAAUCAAACCGGGAGAUAGCUGGUUCUCCCCGAAAGCUAUUUAGGUAGCGCCUCGUGAAUUCAUCUCCGGGGGUAGAGCACUGUUUCGGCUAGGGGGCCAUCCCGGCUUACCAACCCGAUGCAAACUGCGAAUACCGGAGAAUGUUAUCACGGGAGACACACGGCGGGUGCUAACGUCCGUCGUGAAGAGGGAAACAACCCAGACCGCCAGCUAAGGUCCCAAAGUCAUGGUUAAGUGGGAAACGAUGUGGGAAGGCCCAGACAGCCAGGAUGUUGGCUUAGAAGCAGCCAUCAUUUAAAGAAAGCGUAAUAGCUCACUGGUCGAGUCGGCCUGCGCGGAAGAUGUAACGGGGCUAAACCAUGCACCGAAGCUGCGGCAGCGACACUGUGUGUUGUUGGGUAGGGGAGCGUUCUGUAAGCCUGUGAAGGUGUGUCGUGAGGCAUGCUGGAGGUAUCAGAAGUGCGAAUGCUGACAUAAGUAACGAUAAAGCGGGUGAAAAGCCCGCUCGCCGGAAGACCAAGGGUUCCUGUCCAACGUUAAUCGGGGCAGGGUGAGUCGACCCCUAAGGCGAGGCCGAAAGGCGUAGUCGAUGGGAAACGGGUUAAUAUUCCCGUACUUGGUGUUACUGCGAAGGGGGGACGGAGAAGGCUAUGUUGGCCGGGCGACGGUUGUCCCGGUUUAAGCGUGUAGGUGUGUGUUCCAGGUAAAUCCGGUUCACUUUAACACUGAGGCGUGACGACGAGGCACUACGGUGCUGAAGCAACAAAUGCCCUGCUUCCAGGAAAAGCCUCUAAGCAUCAGGUAACAUCAAAUCGUACCCCAAACCGACACAGGUGGUCAGGUAGAGAAUACCAAGGCGCUUGAGAGAACUCGGGUGAAGGAACUAGGCAAAAUGGUGCCGUAACUUCGGGAGAAGGCACGCUGACACGUAGGUGAAGUGAUUUACUCAUGGAGCUGAAGUCAGUCGAAGAUACCAGCUGGCUGCAACUGUUUAUUAAAAACACAGCACUGUGCAAACACGAAAGUGGACGUAUACGGUGUGACGCCUGCCCGGUGCCGGAAGGUUAAUUGAUGGGGUCAGCGCAAGCGAAGCUCCUGAUCGAAGCCCCGGUAAACGGCGGCCGUAACUAUAACGGUCCUAAGGUAGCGAAAUUCCUUGUCGGGUAAGUUCCGACCUGCACGAAUGGCGUAAUGAUGGCCAGGCUGUCUCCACCCGAGACUCAGUGAAAUUGAACUCGCUGUGAAGAUGCAGUGUACCCGCGGCAAGACGGAAAGACCCCGUGAACCUUUACUAUAGCUUGACACUGAACAUUGAGCCUUGAUGUGUAGGAUAGGUGGGAGGCUUUGAAGCGUGGACGCCAGUCU
rnacentral:rRNA from 1 species